GACGUAGGGGGCGAGCGUUGUCCGGAUUUAUUGGGCGUAAAGAGCGCGUAGGCGGCCCGGAAAGUCGGAUGUGAAAACCCGGGGCUCAACCCCGGGCCUGCAUCCGAUACUCCUGGGCUGGAGGCAGGUAGGGGAGAUCGGAAUUCCUGGUGUAGCGGUGAAAUGCGCAGAUAUCAGGAGGAACACCGGUGGCGAAGGCGGAUCUCUGGGCCUGUCCUGACGCUGAGGCACGAAGGUCAGGGGAGCAAACGGG
rnacentral:rRNA from 1 species